rnacentral:rRNA from 1 species
GAUGAACGCUGGCGGCGUGCCUAAUACAUGCAAGUCGAGCGAACGGACGAGAAGCUUGCUUCUCUGAUGUUAGCGGCGGACGGGUGAGUAACACGUGGAUAACCUACCUAUAAGACUGGGAUAACUUCGGGAAACCGGAGCUAAUACCGGAUGAUAUUUUGAACCGCAUGGUUCAAAAGUGAAAGACGGUCUUGCUGUCACUUAUAGAUGGAUCCGCGCUGCAUUAGCUAGUUGGUAAUGUAACGGCUUACCAAGGCAACGAUGCAUAGCCGACCUGAGAGGGUGAUCGGCCACACUGGAACUGAGACACGGUCCAGACUCCUACGGGAGGCAGCAGUAGGGAAUCUUCCGCAAUGGGCGAAAGCCUGACGGAGCAACGCCGCGUGAGUGAUGAAGGUCUUCGGAUCGUAAAACUCUGUUAUUAGGGAAGAACAUAUGUGUAAGUAACUGUGCACAUCGUGACGGUACCUAAUCAGAAAGCCACGGCUAACUACGUG